GAAGGUUCUUAUGUAAUCUGUG
rnacentral:siRNA from 1 species